AUUCCAAAAUAGUUCUUACCUCUGUGCAAGGAAAUGAGAGGUGAGAAGGAAGGAAUAUGGGAAAACGAAGAGGCCUCAAACAAGGGAUUCUGAUAUCUUUGGAGCGCCAUCACCACGGGCAGUGAAUCCACCCAAAGUCUGAAGAGUCUGCUCUCCAGAGAGCUAAGCAUUCAGCCAAGAAGCUCCAGUGCUAUGGCCCUCUUGACUCUGAUAUAAAGCACAAAGGUCCUAGAGAAUAGGAUGACAGGUUUCUGGAUCUCAGACCUCUUCAUAGGAAGUCCACAUUGCAGAGAUCUGAGCACUUUGACAAGAUCACUGUCUUGGGCAUCCCACAG